GACGAACGCUGGCGGCGUGCUUAACACAUGCAAGUCGAACGGAAAGGCCCUGCUUUUGUGGGGUGCUCGAGUGGCGAACGGGUGAGUAACACGUGAGUAACCUGCCCUUGACUUUGGGAUAACUUCAGGAAACUGGGGCUAAUACCGGAUAGGAGCUCCUGCUGCAUGGUGGGGGUUGGAAAGUUUCGGCGGUUGGGGAUGGACUCUCGGCUUAUCAGCUUGUUGGUGGGGCAGUGGCUUACCAAGGCUUUGACGGGUAGCCGGCCUGAGAGGGUGACCGGCCACAUUGGGUCUGAUAUACUGCCCAGACUCCUACGGGAGGCAGCAGUGGGGAAUUUUGCACAAUGGGCGGAAGCCUGAUGCAGCAACGCCGCGUGCGGGAUGACGGCCUUCGGGUUGUACACCUCUUUCGCCUGUGACGAAGCGUGAGUGACGGUAAUGGGUAAAGAAGCACCGGCUAACUACGUG
rnacentral:rRNA from 1 species